rnacentral:rRNA from 1 species
GGACGAACGCUGGCGGUAUGCUUAACACAUGCAAGUCGAACGAGAAGGAAGAGCUUGCUCUUCCUGAAAGUGGCGAACGGGUGAGUAACGCGUGGGUAACCUACCCUUUGGAAAGGAAUAGCCUCGGGAAACUGGGAGUAAUGCCUUAUAAGAUACGUUUGUCGCAUGGCAUUUGUAUUAAACGCUCCGGCGCCAUAGGAUGGACCCGCGUCCCAUUAGCUAGUUGGUGAGAUAACAGCUCACCAAGGCCACGAUGGGUAACCGGUCUGAGAGGGCGAACGGUCACACUGGAACUGAGACACGGUCCAGACUCCUACGGGAGGCAGCAGUGGGGAAUAUUGCGCAAUGGGGGCAACCCUGACGCAGCAAUACCGCGUGAGUGAAGAAGGUUUUCGGAUCGUAAAGCUCUGUUAUUGGGGAAGAAAAAAAGACGGUACCCAAGAAGAAAGUUCCGGCUAACUACGUGCCAGCAGCCGCGGUAAUACGUAGGGAACAAGCGUUGUCCGGAUUUACUGGGCGUAAAGGGCACGCAGGCGGUUUUUUAAGUCAGAUGUGAAAGGCCACAGCUCAACUGUGGACAUGCAUUUGAAACUGAAAGACUUGAGUAUUGGAGAGGCAAGUGGAAUUCCUAGUGUAGCGGUGAAAUGCGUAGAUAUUAGGAGGAACACCGGUGGCGAAGGCGGCUUGCCGGACAAAUACUGACGCUGAGGACGAACGCUGGCGGUAUGCUUAACACAUGCAAGUCGAACGAGAAGGAAGAGCUUGCUCUUCCUGAAAGUGGCGAACGGGUGAGUAACGCGUGGGUAACCUACCCUUUGGAAAGGAAUAGCCUCGGGAAACUGGGAGUAAUGCCUUAUAAGAUACGUUUGUCGCAUGGCAUUUGUAUUAAACGCUCCGGCGCCAUAGGAUGGACCCGCGUCCCAUUAGCUAGUUGGUGAGAUAACAGCUCACCAAGGCCACGAUGGGUAACCGGUCUGAGAGGGCGAACGGUCACACUGGAACUGAGACACGGUCCAGACUCCUACGGGAGGCAGCAGUGGGGAAUAUUGCGCAAUGGGGGCAACCCUGACGCAGCAAUACCGCGUGAGUGAAGAAGGUUUUCGGAUCGUAAAGCUCUGUUAUUGGGGAAGAAAAAAAGACGGUACCCAAGAAGAAAGUUCCGGCUAACUACGUGCCAGCAGCCGCGGUAAUACGUAGGGAACAAGCGUUGUCCGGAUUUACUGGGCGUAAAGGGCACGCAGGCGGUUUUUUAAGUCAGAUGUGAAAGGCCACAGCUCAACUGUGGACAUGCAUUUGAAACUGAAAGACUUGAGUAUUGGAGAGGCAAGUGGAAUUCCUAGUGUAGCGGUGAAAUGCGUAGAUAUUAGGAGGAACACCGGUGGCGAAGGCGGCUUGCCGGACAAAUACUGACGCUGA